rnacentral:rRNA from 1 species
GACGAACGCUGGCGGCGUGCUUAACACAUGCAAGUCGAACGGUGAAGCGCCUUCCUUUUUGGUGGGUGUGGAUGAGUGGCGAACGGGUGAGUAACACGUGAGUAACCUGCCCCCUUCUUCUGGAUAACCGCAUGAAAGUGUGGCUAAUACGGGAUAUUCUGGGUCUGUCGCAUGAUGGGUCUGGGAAAGAUAUUGUUUCGGUGGGGGAUGGGCUCGCGGCCUAUCAGCUUGUUGGUGGGGUGAUGGCCUACCAAGGCGGUGACGGGUAGCCGGCCUGAGAGGGUGGACGGUCACACUGGGACGGAGACACGGACCAGACUCCGACGGGAGGCAGCAGGGGGUAAUAUUGCACAAUGGGCGCAAGCCUGAUGCAGCGACGCCGCGUGAGGGAUGGAGGCCUUCGGGUUGUGAACCUCUUUCGCCAGUGAAGCAGGCCUGCCUCGUUUGUGGGUGGGUUGACGGUAGCUGGAUAAGAAGCGCCGGCUAACUACGUG